UAGCCAUUUAAAAUACGAGCCAUCCCUCUUUGUCUUCACUUUUGUAAAUUUGCCUUUGCCUUCACUUGGAGUAGAUACGAGACAGCAGCAAGCAAGCAACGAGGAGCAACAGCAAGCCCUUUUUUUUGCCUUCACUUUGCAUUCACAUAUCAUUCAGACACCAUUCGCAUCCAAUAUGGUUAGGACACGAGGUAAUUUAUCUAGACGCGGUUCACAUGAUGCACCCGAGAGUUCUGCACAAGGUGCUACACAGAGGAGACCGACCGCUUCAGCUCAUAGAAAGAGUCAGCACGAGGCUGAUGUACUUCAGGAUGAUGUUGUUGAGCAUGAGGUUUCUGAUGUUCCUUAGGACGAGGAACAUGGUAUUGAUAACGAUGGUGCAAGAUUUCCAAGUGGUCCGUCUGAUACAUCUUUAUUGACUCGGUACCAGGAUCAUGUUGCACAGAUCAUAUGGGAUGGUCAGGUCAUGGCUUGCGAUGAGUUGAAUCAAAGUCGGGGUGGACAGGUCAGACUUAGCUGGUUGAGAGAGUUGUAUGAUAACUGUUGUGAUAAUGAGCUAUGGGAGUUUGUUGCACGUGCAUAUCUUUUGCACCUUGUAGGGUGCAUGAUAUUUGCUAAUAAAAGCGCCACCUAUGUUCAUACCCAUUACCUCGAGUUAUUUAGAGAUCUCCCUACAUGUCGUAGAUAUGCUUGGGGAGUUGUUGCUCUUGUCUACUUAUAUGAGCAGCUAGAAGAUGCCAACUUUGCAAAUACAAAGCAAUUAGUUGGAUAUCUACCUCUUCUACAAGUACCCUUUUAUAUUACACUUUGUUCAAUAUUUUACUUGUUUUAUCUUUUAUAUCAGAAUAGUUAAAUGAAAUGUUAUUUGAUACAUGCUUAUAUAUACGAGCACUUCCCUACAUUGGGAAGGAAGCAAUUACGGGAUACAUAUGUGGAGAUCGAACCCCGUGCCAGACAUUAUGUCACUAGACGCGCUACUUCCGCUAUAGCUGAUGUUAGAGUCCGGUUGGAUGCCUUAACAUAUGAUGGGGUGAUUUGGAACCCAUAUGGAGCACAUAGGGCUGAUCGACCACUUGUUGUAUCUGCCAUGUUUUCUGGCUUCCUCAGGCUUGAUAUCCUCGUACACCGUCAUAUUCUAGAGCGUGUGCUACGAUAAUUUGGCUUCAUGCAACCUAUUCCACAACCGUCGAGUUCGCUUCCCAUGUUGUACUUUGCGACUAUUGAUGAUCGAUGGAGAGACCAUAAUCAAUUUGUCGUAGUUCAGGUGGUCCCCACACCAGCUCCUUUUUCAUGUUCGGAUGGAUAUUUGUAGUGGUUUAGGAGGGUCUCCCAUCCUUACAUUUUACGCGGAGUUGAGGCCGACCGACCCAGCCUUGUGGUUAUGCCCCGACUUCGUCAGAAUUUUCCAGAUGACAUACUAGUUUAAAGGAAGUCAGAGUCAUCAUCUUCUUGUGGUUUAUUGGUGCCAUGAAACACAUUGUCAGUGGUCUUUAACGGAUGAUAGACUGCAAAGACGUUAGUGAGGGCACAGUUACUUGGGAUCGCACGCAUGAGUUAUUACAAAUAGCUCGUGAUGCAAUAGAAGAGGAAGAGACUAGAGGAGGAGGUAGAGUUCGAGGUCGACACCAUCUACGUCUGGAUAGUUGAUUUACUUUAUAUUUGUAUUUGAUGUUACAAUUUACAUUUUUAUUGGAUUUUAUAUUAAGU